rnacentral:lncRNA from 10 species
CUACUAUCACAAUCUCCUGACAGAGAGGUAUAUUUGUUGCAAUUGAUGAACCUAUACUGGCACAUCAUUCUCAACCAAAGUUUAUAGUUUAUAUUAGAGUGCAGUUUUGGUGUUGUGCAUUCUUUGGAUUUGGACAAAUGUAUAAUGACACGUAUCCACCAUUAAAGUAUCACACAGAAUGCUUUCACAGCCCUAAAGUCUCUUGUGCUUAGCCUUUAUCCCUGUCUCCCCUAAACCGUUAGCAAUCACUGAUCAUUUCACUGUAUCUCUAGUUUCACCUUUCCAGAAUUGCAAUUCCAUUUUUAAAAUCCCUUCUAAGGAAAAACUCUACAAACUUACUUCUAUGUUAUCUAGCUUAGGGAUUUGAAACUGUUAAAAGAAGAAUAAUAGAGAAAUUAAAUUUAGCAGAGUUCAUUUGAGCACAAAAGAAUUCAUGAAUCAGGUAGCACCCUGAACACGUAGAGGUGCAGAAAGCUCUACGCAGCAGUGUGAGCAGCAAGUUUGCAUAGAUUGAAACCAAAGCAAAGUAGAGAAAUCACCUGAUUGGCUACAACAAAUAAGGCAUCUGCCUUAUUUGGGCAUGGUGUGAUGAGUUAGAUGCCUGUGAUUGACUGCAGCCUGGCUGAUUGUGAUUGGCUAUAACUUGACUGUUUUUUAUAAUCCUAAUGUUACUUUUGAUUUGUUUAUAUACUAAGGUAGGUUUCAGUUCACUAUGUAGGGACUUAAGGUACAGAGGCAGGCUCCAGGUAAGUUUAAAUGACAAUUCUUCCCUUUUGAUCAGCCUCUCAAUUUUAGGAGAAUAACCAAAAAUUUGGGCAUUGGCAUCACUCUCUGUCACCAUCAGAAUGGACUUGUUUGUUCUCAGUAUGAAAUUCACAAUUAAUGACAUUGGGGUAGUUGAAUGAUUCUUUAUGUUCUCCUUAUGUUUUUCUUAUUUUAAAUGCAGUGAGACCAUUUGACACACAACAGAUGGCUGCAUAUUAGCACUUAUGACUUGUGAGAGAAUAUGGCCUGUCAGGGAGACUAUUGUGAUGGCUAUCAGGAAGAUAAUACCAAGAGGUUAAAGUGUACUUCUUCAUAGGAGCUCUCAUGAACCAAAUCAAUUAAAAUAUGUCAAAAAAAUGAGUGAGAAGAGGAGUCUAUUUGUUUUAACAUCAGUCUUUCUGUAUGGGAAAGCUUCUACAUAACCAGAAAACCAGCACUGAAAGUGGAAAUAGAAUGAAAUACAUCUGUAAGUGUCCAAAUAAUCCACGAUGCACCAGAAACAUACCACUUGAGGUUUUUAUUGUCUUACUAGGAUUAUGAGUUUGACAAACCAAACAUUGGUUAUAAAUUAUUUUAUCCAUUUUAAACAGUAACUUUACCAAUUUUUUUAAUAAUUUGAGUCAUUUUAUCUCUUCCAUAAUGAGUCAGAGUCUGUAAAAAUUUUAAUGAUAUUAAAGAACUUGGGAAGGACCAGGCAGCCAUCCAGAUUCUCCAUGAGUCCAUGCUUAACAUUGAAUUUACAUUCUUUGAAAUGACAGGUUUGUUCUCCAAUUCAGGUGCAAAACACUGUUUAUUGACUAGGUUAUCAUAAGUAAAUUAACUUGGGUUAAUCUUACAGAGUUUAUUUAACUUGCAUAUCUUAACAGUUUCAAUUCCAGCUUACUUGGCAUAAAACCAUGGCAAAGCAUGUUCUUGGUAUUUAAUGAAUUCUUGUUUUGCUUGAUGUUGACAGUUUUAUAAACGAAUUCAUUUUUUCAUUAAAGUUCUGGAAAUUCUUACCUUGACCAAUUAUCAGUAAGUAAGGUAACAAGUAAGUACACUUGUUAGAGACUUUUAUAGAGUCUUCUCAGAGAUGAAACACUUUUAGGUUUAUAGUUACUUGCAAAAACUUUCAGGAAAGUACCAGAAUAAAGUAAUUAGCUCUCUGUGAAUGACAAUAUUUAAAAUUUCCAUGGUUAAAGAUCUGAUGAGAGUUUACUAAAACACAAUGGGCAAGGAAAUUCAAUUGUUUCUGUAACAUACAAUAUUCUAAGAUAAUAAUUAUGAUUGUCACUGGUAGCAUUAUACCAAAACUUUCAGAUUUCUAAUUUCAUCCAAUUUAUGAAGCACAUAUUAAUAACAUAUCUAUACAAUAACUCAAUACAGGUUCAGUAUCAAUUAUUAUUUCACAAUGCUUUCCAUGCAAUUUAACGUGCUAAAUAAGCCUACUUUGUCAACUCUCUGAAAGAGAGAAGAAACUUUUGUGGUAUUCCAGUGGCCCACUGGAACCUCCCAAAGUUAGUUCAAAGUCAAAGAUGUUAAUUGAGUAUUUGAUUUUGGAAAGUCAAAAAUGUCAAAAGAUUUAAAGGACUUGAUUAAAAUAGAAUCACAGUUUACUCUGAAAAAUAAUCAUUCAGUUAACAAGAGUAAGAGUUAAAGACUUCAAAGGCAAAUAUGAAAAUUUACAUGGUUGUAGAAAAAUCUUGAUCUUUUAAUAGACAAGGCUCAGUUUUCUUAAGUAAUCAGAAGCCUGAAAAAGAUAACAUGAAGCUGCAGCCGUAAAAAAGAAUGAGUUAAUGUCCUUUGCAGGGACAUGGAUGAAGCUGGAAACCAUCAUUCUCAGCAAACUGACACAGGAACAGAAAACCAAACACUGUAUGUUCUCAUUCAUAAGUGGGAGUUGAACAAUGAGAACACAUGGACACAGGUAGGGGAACUUUGCACACCGGGGUCUUCUGGGGCGUAGGGGGCAAGGGGAGGGAUAGCAUCAGGACAAACACCUCAUGCAUGCAGGGCUUAAAACCUAGAUGUUGGGUUGAUAGGUGCAGCAAACCACUAUGGCACAUGUAUACCUAUGUAACAAACCUGCACAUUCUGCACAUAUAUCCCGGAACUUAAAGUAAAAGAAAAAGAAAAAGAAAAAAAGAUAACAUGAAGUAUAGCAGAUCAUCUUGAUAAAUAUUGAAUUUUUCUAGGCCAAUUACCUAAAAAAGUAAUAAUAUAACCUUUUACAAUUUUAUAUUUAAAGCAGACUAAUAUUCCAAUAAAAUUGUGUUUUUUCACAGAGAGAAUCAAAUUCUAUUUUUAUAUUAGUGUAGUUUUGAUAUUAAUGCUCAAUUUUAGAAAAGACUUAUGAAUAGUUCUCUUCUAAUCUUAGCUUGUUCACAUAUAAAAUUUAUUUUCCAAAAUUCAUGUUCUACAAAUUUUCUACAACUUGCUUAUGUCUAUUCAGUUUAGUCUUAUACUUUUUCUUUUUCAUUGGAACAACCAGUUGUACUUCACGAUAAAAAUUACUUUUUUUUCCUUAACACAACCAAACACUUUCCCAUACCUUAUAGCUUUGCUUGCCAAAAGCACAUCUUGCUUUUCUCAUAUACUUGCAUAUAAAGUUGUUUCCCUUUUCAUUUCUAACAACAUUAUUUACAUAUAUUCAUUAGAAUUCUUAGUCUUUAAUGACCUUAAUUUCUAGCAAACACUAGGAAGCAAGCAAUUGUAAACUAUAUGUCACACUAGCAUCUACAGAGUAGACUUUCAAAUCUAUGAAUUAUAAUUUCUAGGAGCAUGUGCUUUUUCAUAAUAUAAUUUUUCAGUGUGGCACAAACUAUGUUUACUAAUAGUCCCACCUAUCUUUAAUUUAUCUGUAAUAAGAAACUGUAUAGGAGGAAAAAUUUUAUCUCUAUCCUCGUAGUUUUUUUGGCAAGAAGUGAGAAUUAAAUUUUUAUUUACUCAGACUUAUUAUGCAGAACUUUCCAUUCUUCAUAAUAAGAAUAUUAAAACCUUCUGGUAUAAGAAGGACGUCUUUCAAAUAGGAAUUUUAUCUUACAUGCAUCUAUUUAGUUCACUUGUUUUUAAGAAUUAUACUUGGAAUCCUCGAGAUGGUGAAAUAUUAAACAGCUAGCUUUCCAUCAGUUGGAGUUAUUUUUUCUUACUGACAAAUUUUAAAAUGUAAAGGUAAUAUAAAAUUAUUUUACUAAUAAACCUAGAAAAUUGUACAUGUGUAUUAUAUUUAAUGCCAACAACUCUGAAGGCAUUCCUGUUUUAAUCAAGCUAGCACACUUUUACUAGCUUAUAUUUACUGAAAUUUAUGCCAGAUAACAUGAACCUGAAAAACAUUAUAGGUUACUUUCUAUCUUUCUAAGUGUGUAAAAAAUAUUUUACAUAAGUGUUUCUUUUUCUUUAAGCCUAUUAAAUAAAAAAUUUUACAAUUUAAUUUUGGCAAUACCAUGAGUAGUAUAGGGAAAUAUCACAUACACAUAACAUAAUACAGACAUAUGUAAACAUACAAACUCAAACAGAUCUUAUAGAUUUUAUUUAAAUAUUUUAGCCAUGUGACAGGCAUAAUGACACAAAGCUCACUAAUGCAUUAAAGAAUAUCUAGAGCUAAUUUUUUUUUUCUGGCCAUGCCAAUGAAGCAAGAUUACUUACCUUGAUGGUUAAAGCUUUUGACUACUGUUUGUGGAAAAUAUUUUUAAGAUUUCAAAAAUAUAUAUUCUUGGGCGGGCACAGUGGCUCAUGCCUGUAAUCCCAGCACUUUGGGAGGCCAAGGUGGGUGGAUCACAAGGUUAGGAGUUUGGGACCAGCCUGGCCAAUAUGGUGAAACCCUGUCUGUACUAAAAAUACAAAAAUUAGCGGAGCCUGGUGGCGGGGGUUUGUAGUCCCAGCUACUCGGGGGGCUGAGGCAGAAAAAUCACUUGAACCCGGGAGGCACAGGUUGCAGUGAGCCGAGAUCAUGCCACUGCACUCCAUCCCAGGUGACAGAGUAAGACUCCAUCUCAAAAAAAAAAAAAAAAAAAAAAAAAAAACCUAUAUGCUUAAGGGUCAAUCUUUGAUUUUUUAAAUAUUUUAGAUGUCUUUGAACAUCAAUUAGAGAAUGUAUCUCAUUGCUUUUUUGACAUUUUAGAUUCUUUCUUUUCUAAUGUGACUUACGAAUGAAUAAUUUUUUUUAAGUUCCACACUCUGGACACUGUAAUCCCAAGUUGCCCUUAGUAAGGUGUUAAUCCAUUUUUACAAAACCACACAGGUUCUGGGAUCAUAAAUUUUUGUAUCUCAAAUUAGCUGUUACCCUAGAAAAUAAAGUCACAGGCUCCUGGUAUCCUAAACUUAGAUUUAAAGAAACUUAUUUUCAGUUACCUAUCUGAGGUUUCUAACUGGAUCCAUUUCAGCUAGUUAUCAGGUCCAAUCCAAUAUUGGACCCAGUUCAUUAAAAUGAUUGCUGAAAUAAACUUCAAUAAUUCAAAACACAAAUUUGUAGAGUUCAAAUCUUACAGGGAACUCACUGACAACCUCUAGUUGCUCCAAGAGAACAAUAGGCACAGUCGAUCCUGGGAAUCACCUUUGCUUGGUCACUCAGUGCUCCUGGGGUCACCAGAGGUCUUCUUUGAAUCCCUCUUUUGAUACUAAACCAUUAAAAAGAAAAACUUCAGUCAAAUUAAAUAUAGUAGAAUUUAUUUAAGGAAAUAAUAAUUCAUGAAUUGGGCAGCACCCUGAACCACUGGAGUUGUAGAGAGCUCCACCCCAACAGCAUGAGUAUUGAGUUUCAGAGGCCAGACGAAAAUAAUCAAAGUACAGAAAUUACCUAUUUGGGCAUAGUGUGAUAAGGCAUCUGCCUUAUUUGGGCAUAAUGUGAUGACUUGGCUGCCUAUAACUGGCUGAAACUUGUCUGGUUGUGAUUGGCUGAAAAAUCAGCUAUUUGUUAUACUCAAGGUUGCUUUUGGUUGGUUUACGUACAAAGUUAUGUUGCAGUUCACUAUAUGGGGACUCAACAUAUGGAGCAGCCUUAGGUCAAAUUGAACUAAUUUCACACGCUCACCAUAAGAAGAGCAACAAGGUAAAGAAGAGAGUAAAUUAGGUGCUCUAAAUGUUGCAAUACCAGCAUCACCACAAUCCCCCCACACAAAUUAUUGCAGACAAAAUACUAACAUUCCUAUUGUCAUAAUAAGGGUUUAGGAUGAUAGAAAGCAGACACUUCUACCCUUUCUCUCAUAAGACAGAGAGACAGACAGACAGACAGACACACACACACACACACACACACACAAACCCCUAUAAAUAUACAAGACUCCCUAGGUUCAGGUCAUAAUUUGGCAAGUGUAAAUUUUUGAACCUCUCUCUAUUUUUAUCUUCACUUUUCCCCUUUCCUUGCUCUGAGAGGCUGCACAGUAAUAAGAGUGCUUCACUGCCACAAAGACAAUAUGCAGGCCCACACUAAAUACUUUCGUAAUGCUUUUCCUUUGGUUGCUAAGCUAGAGCUAUUGUCACGAAAGCCUGCACAUUUAUCCCAUGACAUUCUUAAAAUGCAAUUAUUAUCUUAUGUAAUUCCAAUUCAAUUUCUACUUUGCCAAAAAGUCUAUUUUCUCAGUAUCAUAACAUGUAUCAGAUUUAGGAAACUCAUUGGCAAUAUGAGCCUAAAUUAUUUAAUUCAGGAUGCCAAUUUCAUAACUAUAGUAAGAAAUAUUCUUGGACAUAUUAAUCAUUUGUGUUGGCUUAAAAUAUAUAUCUUUUCCUUGUAGGUGAAUUACAUGGGAAGCCAAGUUAUAAAAAGUUUUCUCAGUGAGAAUAGAGUAAGAAGAGCUGAAGUUAGAAGAGAAGGGGAUUAAAUGCUAAAUAAAAUGAAAAUGAUGUCCUGAUGCUUUCAUAUCCAAAAUAAAUUUACUGCUACCAGGUAGGUCUAGCAUUUACAUAAACAUGCAUACAUUUCUACUUAGGAAAUGGUUUUCCCCCUUAAAUUAUCUGCCAGGCAUGAUUAGUCUUUGUCUCAUAUGGCUUUUCUUCUUCUACUAUUUCACCUGUAAGUGUUCACUUUUUUAUUAACAUUGUCUUGCUUUAGCUGUAUUGCUACAGAAUAGCAAUACAGUAGGCAGUGUUUGGAAUAUGGGCAUUGAUGUCACACUGCGUGGAGUCUGAUGACCCUUGGGCUAGUUGGGACCUAUUCUUAUGAGUUGUGUAACCUUGAGCAAGUUACUUAACUUGUCUAUGUUUUGGUUUCCUAUACAUAAAAUGGAAGUAGUAACAGCUAAUUUCCAAAUUUAUAAUACAUGCCUGGCACAAUUACUUAAUAUAUGUAAAUGGCAAUAUUUAUUUUCAUUCUGAUUUUAUUCACCUAUUUGUCACCAGAAAUAAUUUUUAUUUACUUAAUGCACUUGUGUACAUCUUACUUGAUUAAAGAUGUGUGAUCUGUAUACUUUACAUUUCAAAGGAAAAGGGGAUACUGUAAUCAGUGUUGAACAUAAGUUGAAAGUUGAUGUCAAAUCAUGUUCAAUGAUGUGAUGAUGGGAUGAUGUGAUGGUGCUACAUGUGCACUAAGGAUGUAAGGGAACUAGUUGUGAGACUGAUGAUAAUGGAACAGAUGAGUCAGCAGAAGAAGAGCAGACAGGAAAAGAAAGCAACUGAGAUGAUUCACAUGUACAUCAUUCCAGCUCCCUCUUCCCCAAAUCUGCCUGCUGAAUUUGCAUAAUCUGCUUGCUAAAUUUGCAUCGGACUUGUUUUUAACCCUGAAAUAAAAUAUUUUUUUUCCUGAGCUAUAUUGAGUUGUUUUCUCUUACUUGCAAAUGAUAAUUUUGACCAGAACACAGAAAUAUUUCUGAUGAUUUAUUUCUCAAUGUGUGUGUGUGUGUGUGUGUGUGUGUGUGUGUGUGUGUGUGUGUGUGUGUUGGCAGAUAGGCUACACAUAUCAGAUGCUGUAUUCAGUUGCCACCUACAAUAUGAUCAAUCAACAGAAUGCAUCAUAUGCUCAAGUGGUGAAAUACAUUAGUUCAAAGGGCAAAGCAUAUAAUCUUUCAAAUUUUAUUUGCAAAGUAUGGAAAGGAUGACUCAGUUAUCAAAAAAAGCAGACUCAGGAAAGAAUACUGAUUUUAUUUCUUUGGCUUCCUGUUGAUGUAGUAGGCAGAAAGGAAAUUUAGAUCUUCUUUCUUUUCUCUUUUAGUAUUGUUUUAAAUAUAUGUCAUAGAUAUAGAUAGAUAGAUAGAUAGAUAGAUAGAUAGAUAGAUAGAUGAUAGAUAGAUUUUAAGUUUCCUUCCAACACCAUGCUUGAGACUUUCUUUCAGUGGGCAAAAUUAUAGUUCCCAAAAAAAAAUCUUCAGAGAUUUUCAAUUCUGAUAAGGUGGCAGAGAGAGAUAAGUUAGAGCUCUUACUGCUAUGAAUGCAUUGAAGUUUUAAGUAGAAUUAAAUUUUAAAAUAGUUAAAAUUAUGUAGCUAGGGUCACUAGAAUAAGACAGCUAUACAUAUUGGGCAAAAGAAGAAAGCAAAGCUAGAGUGAUAAGAGUAAGAAGGGAAGCAGAGAACAUACAACCAACCCCUGCAAGAGCUGUAGAGCCAUAGUCAUGUAGUUCCAUGCAAAACUGGGGAUUGGAAGGAAACAUUGUUUGGCAUAGUGACAUGAAAGAUUAUAGCUGUCACACUAGAGCUGUGUAUAAAAAGAAGAGUGUAUGUUUGAUAUGCCAUCUGAAGACCAUGAAAAAUGAGUUAUCAAAUUGUU